rnacentral:rRNA from 1 species
AGUUGAUCCUGGCUUAGGACGAACGCUGGCGGCGUGCUUAAUACAUGCAAGUCGAGCGAGCUACUUCGGUAGCGAGCGGCGCACGGGUGAGUAACGCGUAGAUGAUCUACCCUCGAGACUGAGAUACCUCCGGGAAACUGGAGUUAAUACCCAGAUAACGCACAUCAGUUGGUUCAGAUGUGUUAAAGCGGUGCAAGUCGCACUUGAGGAUGAGUCUGCGGCCUAUCAGCUAGUUGGUGGGGUAACGGCCUACCAAGGCGAAGACGGGUAGCUGAUCUGAGAGGAUGAUCAGCCACAUUGGGACUGAGACACGGCCCAAACUCCUACGGGAGGCAGCAGUAGGGAAUAUUGCGCAAGUGGGGGGAACCCUGACGCAGCGACGCCGCGUGAAGUGAUGACGGUCCUUUUUGGUUGUAAAGCUCUGUAAAGAGGGAAAAAUGUUGUAGUGAAGAGCUGCAAUUGAUGGUACCUCUAAAGUAAGGACCGGCUAAAUACGUGCCAGCAGCCGC